UACUACCAAUGGAACAUCAAUGGAAUUCGUGAAAACAUUUUAGAUUUACAAAGUAUAUAAUUUAAUUUACACAACACACUAUGCACUCAUUAUUAAAUUGUUGGAAGUUCAAUAUGCACUACACACUAUGCAGUCUUUGUAUCAUCAAUCGAACCUCUCACUCCCACUCCCAACUUCACUAUUUCUGAUUCCCUUCUUCCUCCAAUAUUAGAGCCAACGUCACCGCCGUUGCAGCUUAUGUUCCAUUCUGUUCUUCAUUUCACCACCUUCGUCCCCAACUCCACCACCGUUGCAUCUUCUGUCCAGUUCUGUAUAGCACGGGAAGAAGUUCCCCACUGCCGUCCCAAAUUUCUCCACUGCCGUUGCAGAGUCUAAUCGGUUAUGUAGAGCACGGUAAUAAAUUCCCCACCGUCAUCACAGAGUGCCAACAAGGACGAAUAAAUGACUUGUGAUCCUAUGGUUGCUCUGUUGAACUCACAAUUAUCUUGAUUGGUCGGAGUAUUUUCAGAUGUUAAGCAACAAUUUCUUUUAGCUUUUAUCAUGUAGUAAUCUGGAGUUUAAAACAUCAUUAAACUCAAAUACUAUUUUUUUAGGUUUGCAACAUGUUAAAAAACUCUUUGUUGUU